UAUCAUCUUGACUUGGUUCUGAUUUCUCUAUUUUUUUAAGAAUACCGAGUUGGGUUCUUC
rnacentral:tRNA from 19 species